rnacentral:rRNA from 1 species
CUUUAAUGUUUGAUGUUCUAACGUUGGCCCGUAAUCCGGGUUGCGGACAGUGUCUGGUGGGUAGUUUGACUGGGGCGGUCUCCUCCUAAAGAGUAACGGAGGAGCACGAAGGUUGGCUAAUCCUGGUCGGACAUCAGGAGGUUAGUGCAAUGGCAUAAGCCAGCUUGACUGCGAGCGUGACGGCGCGAGCAGGUGCGAAAGCAGGUCAUAGUGAUCCGGUGGUUCUGAAUGGAAGGGCCAUCGCUCAACGGAUAAAAGGUACUCCGGGGAUAACAGGCUGAUACCGCCCAAGAGUUCAUAUCGACGGCGGUGUUUGGCACCUCGAUGUCGGCUCAUCACAUCCUGGGGCUGAAGUAGGUCCCAAGGGUAUGGCUGUUCGCCAUUUAAAGUGGUACGCGAGCUGGGUUUAGAACGUCGUGAGACAGUUCGGUCCCUAUCUGCCGUGGGCGCUGGAGAACUGAGGGGGGCUGCUCCUAGUACGAGAGGACCGGAGUGGACGCAUCACUGGUGUUCGGGUUGUCAUGCCAAUGGCACUGCCCGGUAGCUAAAUGCGGAAGAGAUAAGUGCUGAAAGCAUCUAAGCACGAAACUUGCCCCGAGAUGAGUUCUCCCUGACUCCUUGAGAGUCCUGAAGGAACGUUGAAGACGACGACGUUGAUAGGCCGGGUGUGUAAGCGCAGCGAUGCGUUGAGCUAACCGGUACUAAUGAACCGUGAGGCUUAACCUUACAACGCCGAAG